GGAGGAAAAGAAACUAACAAGGAUUCCCCUAGUAACUGCGAGUGAAGCGGGAAAAGCUCAAAUUUAAAAUCUGGCGGCUUUGUCGUCCGAGUUGUAAUCUAGAGAAGUGUUACCCGCGUUGGACCGUGUACAAGUCUCCUGGAAUGGAGCGUCAUAGAGGGUGAGAAUCCCGUCUUUGACACGGACUACCAAGGCUUUGUGGUGCGCUCUCAAAGAGUCGAGUUGUUUGGGAAUGCAGCUCAAAAUGGGUGGUAAAUGCCAUCUAAAGCUAAAUAUUGGCGAGAGACCGAUAGCGAACAAGUACCGUGAGGGAAAGAUGAAAAGAACUUUGGAAAGAGAGUUAAACAGUACGUGAAAUUGCUGAAAGGGAAACGCUUGAAGUCAGUCACGCUGCCUGAAAUCAACCUNGCUUCUGCUUGGUGUACUUUCUGGUUGCGGGUCAACAUCAAUUUUGAUCAAUGGAUAAAGGCUGUGGAAAUGUGGCUCCCUCGGGAGUGUUAUAGUCUGCUGUUGUAUACAUUGAUUGGGAUUGAGGAACUCAGCGCGCCGCAAGGCCGGGAUUCGUCCACGUUCGCGCUUAGGAUGUUGGCAUAAUGGCUUUAAUCGACCCGUCUUGAAACACGGACCAAGGAGUCUAACAUGCUUGCGAGUAUUUGGGUGGAAAACCCGAGUGCGCAAUGAAAGUAAAAAUUGAGAUCCCUGUCGUGGGGAGCAUCGAUGCCCGGACCAGAUGUUUACUGACGGAUCCGCGGUUGAGCANGUAUGUUGGGACCCGAAAGAUGGUGAACUAUGCCUGAAUAGGGUGAAGCCAGAGGAAACUCUGGUGGAGGCUCGUAGCGAUUCUGACGUGCAAAUCGAUCGUCAAAUUUGGGUAUAGGGGCGAAAGACUAAUCGAACCAUCUAGUA
rnacentral:rRNA from 1 species